UGUUGACAGUGCAGGUGCUGUAUAAUGUUAAAGAUGUCCUGAUGUUCCUCUUCUGACCAGCAGGUGUCGCCCCUCCCUCACAUCUGAACAUAAAGAGAGGCGGCCAUGUUUAACUUCCACACCAGAGGAACAGCAGCAGCAGACUUUCUUCAUUAUAGAAACUCUUUCCUCAAAAAUGUGUCAUUUAGCAACACAAUAAACAUCUGCUGGACAGACAGCAUUACAACACACUUAUACAGACGAUCAACUGAAGACAUUUCUGCCACGUUGCUUGUUUAAAGUUGCAUAUGAAUCUGUGAAUUCAAACUAUAACUUCAUCUUGAGCCUUGCAUAUCAACAUAGAGACAGAUUCAAGAGUUUCAGUGUCUCAAAGCAGAUAGGAGUCUGUUGGACAACACAAUUUCACAGAAAUGUAUUUUAUGAGCUGGCUUCUUAUUUAUUUGUACGACCACAUUCAUACGUUUAUGUACGAUUAGCUUUGGCCCGUCACGUUGGGGUUAUGGGUAGGGUUUCAUUAUUGUUUUCAAUAAUCGUACAUUUUUGUACGUAAUUCACUUGAUACGAAGACCAAUCAGCCAACUUGUAAAAUACAUGUUGGACCGGAUGACAGCGAGCAGAUCUGGAUGUUUAAUGAUGUCUGUGAUGGAGUCUGAAGAUAUCAGUCAGGAAUGAUAUGAUCUGUGUUUGAUCUGGACAGACAGGAAGACGCUUCGGGCGUUUACAUCACAACAUCGGCUCUUCUCAACAGCACACGGUCAAAAUGUCAGCUGAGUCUCUCAAAUACUGCGAUUAAAAUGAGGAAAAGAAACCCUGAGACUUUAUCACCUCAUGCUGGGAACAUUAAAGAGCGGACGUUGUGUGUGUGAGAGAGCCAGAGAGAUAUAGAAACGCAGGGAGUCGGGGAUUUGUCGCUGGCUAUCUUGAGUGUUUUGGUAUGAGCUCUACUGAAGACUUCUUCAUAUUCUGAUUGUAAAAAUGCAGCAAAACCGUCAAUGUGUUUGAUGUGCUAAUAUCAGCAGCUUCAAAGAGAAAGUCUCUCUUAUCUGUUAGCUGUUCACACAGGGAUGUUGGACUUUACUUCUACUUCAGUCAUGUCAGUUCAGAGCUCGCUUCAGACGUGAUCAGAAUCUGUACACAUCCAGAAGAGUUUAUUAUCAGGACUGUCAACACAGUUCUUGAUGUGUUUAGCUUUUCUUUGUGUGUAAUUGGUAUUCAAGGCUAGGCCCCUUUGAUAUUUCCAAAUAUUAUUUUCACCAAUGCUGAGUUAUCUCUAAGAUCUCAUGGUUGUGGCCAUUAUUCACCUGUGAUGAUGAUGAUGAUGAUGAUGAUACACCUGGACACCACAGCCUAACAGCCUGAAUAAAGUCGCUUAUGCAGUUCUUGCAUCUGCGCAGACGCUGUGCCGUCCUUUAGCCCCGUCAGCUGCAGACUCUUCAUAUUCCUGACGCUGCUUUUUUCAGGGUGACAACUUCGUCUGUCAGCACUUCUGCCAGUGAUCGGUCAAAUGACGAGAAUUCAUGAAACGCUGCACCGACCUUCGGAGAGGAAAACCAUUUCCCGUUUUCAUCCAGCAGACAGGCAGGACAAAAGUUGCUGUGAUUAUGAGCUGAUUCUGGGUCAGUUGGGUCAGUUGUUUCUCACUUUAUUUGACAUAACAGAUUAGUUCUCAUAAAUGACCCUGAUCCUGGAUCAGCAGCAUUUUUCAAUUCCUUUGUUUUGAAAACUUAAAGGUGCCAUAGAAUGUAAAACUGUAUUUAUGUAGGCAUAGAUGAAUAAUAAGAGUUGUGUAGAUGGUAAUGACAUAUCAUGCGCCUCAAACACGAUUGUUUCCUCCUUCUUAUGUAAACCUCAAGCAUGCAAAAAAAACGCUUGAAAACAGACCAAUCUCAACAUAACUGUGACGUUACAGUCCAGAUGUACACCCCAACAUUAAAUUAAGAACAAUGUUGUUACAAUUCUAAAAACAAAGUUGUGCUAUAUGCUAGUUAGCACUACAUGCUAGUUUACGCUAUAUGCUAGUUAAUGCUAUAUGCUAGCAUUUAGGCUGACGUACUAAUGACGUUACAGUUACGUUUUGCAGGUCCAUACUGAAAAAAACACAAACUUACC